AUUUUAAGGAAUGCUUGAAGUGGUAAAAAUGAUGAACUGUAAAUUCAGACGUCCUGAGUUCGAAUCUUCGCAACCUUUUAGAAUU